rnacentral:lncRNA from 1 species
GUAGCAACUAAUAUGGUAUAAAUUUAGGUCUACUAACAAAUAUCGACAUUGUGGCAAAGACAUCACAGGGCUUAAUAUGGGGAUAUUCGGGGAUGCAAAACCUAUAACUGUAGCUGGCUUUCUAAGUGCUAUUGUUUCUUUUGUGUUACAAUUAAUUGGCUUCGCGACCCCUUUUUGGACAUAUGUCAAAAUAGAAGGUGUAGCAGUUCAUAGUGGUUUAUGGCAAGCAUGUCUUUCGACGACAUGUACAAGUGGCUGUGGUAUGUUCAUUGCUAUUGUUCAUUAUACAAUAAAUUCAAUAAAUGCACGUAAGUAACCAUACUACCGACAUGUUUUUAUUUUACUUUUAAAAUAUUUGUGAAUCAAUAUAUAGUGACGAAAAUGCAAACUAUACUAAAAUAACUUCAAACUCAUUAUUCGAAUAAAAUGACUUAGCCAUGAAAAAAAAUAAUAAAAAGAAAACUAAAGACUUUAAAACAAUAUGAAUCCAUUCUAUAAUCAGGAUGAUCUCGGAUGAUUUAGAAAGGACAGAAGAUUCUGAUCCACAUGUUUCACCCGUCUUGACAACAGAUUGAAUAGCGUAUCUGAUAGAUGAGUUAUUUGAUACAAGAACCACUGGGUAUAAUGUUAUAUGUUCACUGUAUUCAAACUCGAGACGAUUUUGAGCUCUACAUUUAGUUGAGACACUUGUUUAUUAUUAUAGUUAUCAAAGGUAUCAGGGUGACACUCAUUGUUUCCCUUUUUCAUUUUGUUUGAUACUUGUGUCAUUGACAUAUGUCUUCUUUUAAUAGUUAUGUUAUGUUGUGAUACAACUAAUUUCAUGCGUCAUGUGAAGUGUUUAAAAUCUUUUAAAAAAAAAUUGUCCAAAGUUGUAUUUUGAUUUUUAGUUGUAAUAAUGAAAAUGUUAUAUUUACCCUCAUAAUAGUUGUAAUUUGUCUGCGAUCGGGGAAUAUGCAAGUAUUAUGUUUGUGUCAAAUUAAUAACCAUUUAAGUAUCGAGAACAUUUUUACUUAAACUUAACAAUAACUGUGGAAAUUUUUUACAUGGAAAAGUUUUGGUGCCAGCUGGAAAGAUUCAAAGAUAACAUUUGUGUCAAAUAAACAACAUUGUACUUGUUGAAUCUUUCGUUCAAGAAAUACAGGAGGGGGAAUUUAUUAUAUGUGUACUCCAGAUAAAAUUAUGUUUGUGCUAAGUAAAUAAUUAAUUAUAGUUAUACUAAUUAUAAUUUAUAAACGUAGGAGUAUUUGGUUGUCCCAAUGCAUUGAAAGGAACCCAGGCAUUAGAAACAUUAGCGUUCAUCAUCUUAAUGGCUGCUGUUGUCCUUGUAGCAGUUCAGUUAUUUGUGAUGAAGGAUAAAGAUAUCAUGAAGAAAGCAGGAGCAGUUUGUUGUAUUGUAGCAGGUAUUGUUAAGAACAAGUAUAAUUUUCAAACUAUACACCUAAUCGCUAUUUGUCCGCCAUUACUGGAUAUCACACAGGUUCCCGUAAAAUUUUUAAAAGAGUUUUUGCAGUUUAAUUUUUAUCAGAUAGAAAAUUUCAUUGAGUACAUAUUUUUGCGUUAACAAAGAAAUAUAUUCAUUCGCCAGGCAUAUACAGUGACAUAAAUAUACAAUUUACGUGUAAUAGAGGUAACGAGUGUGAAAAAUUAUAUUCCCUAUCUCCAAUUUAAAAGAAUUAUAAGGAUUAAACGCCUUUUUAAAGGAAUUCAUAGGUGUAUAUUCUGGACCAAGUCACUCACAAACAAAUCAUAAAAGUCCUUGUGAGUGAAUUGGUCCAGUUUAUACUCCAAUAAAUUCCUUUAAAAAGGCGUUUAAUCCUAUGAUAAAUACUGUGAACGUUUUGUGUAUAUCUAUAUAUUUUUACCUAUGUCGAAAGACGUGCAUAGUAUCAAAUCAUAAAAAUACAAAUUGUUUAGUCUCUAGGAAAUCUUGUAAGAUUUCCGCUGCUAUUUUUGAUUUUUGCUUAACAGAUGCAAUUUGGGUACCGUGACGUUAUAUACUAGUUCAGUGAUAAUGGAUGUCAUACUAAACUCCAAAUUAUACACAAGAAACUAAAAUUAAAAAUAAUACAAGACUAAUAAAGGCAAGAGGCUCCUGACUUGGGACGGGCGCAAAAAUGCGAUGGGGUUAACAUGUUUAGGAAAUCUCAACCCUUUCCCUAUCCCUCACUCUCUAUAUAUAUACAUGUAUUACAUAACUUGUAAACACCAAAAAUUGUAAAACACAACAGUUACACAAAAGAAUGUUGUCAUGGUUUUAUCCAUGAACCUCGCAUUAAAAAAUGAAAGAUGAACAUUGCAUUGGAACAGAAGAAUAGUAAUGCAAAUCUUUUAUUAUGUUGCAUUUUUUUAAGAAAGGAUUUUGUCGACUCAACACUUUGUCCUAAUUGUAAAAUGAAAAGAUAAGGAAGUAAAUAUACAUUUACAUAAUUCCUUUUUUAUGUUGAACAAAGGCUUGUUUUAUUUUUGCAGGUGUUUUUGCAAUCAUUGGAGCUAUAGUAUAUGCUACUCAAAAAGGUUUACAAAUAAGUACACUUCAUUUUUCGUUUGCGUUUUGUGUCAUCGCUGCAGUUGGUGGAAUAGUUGCCGGUGUUCUAUUAAUAAUUGGAUAAUACUGGCUAUUUGAUACGGUAUUAAGAUCAUAUAAGUACAUAGAAAUUGGUGAUAACGUCAAGAAAUUUACUGGACUAAUCAGAAUAUUUUGUUAAUUUGAAUCUUGACAUCGGAACAAAUCGUUCAUUUAAGUGUCAAUCUUAUUAAAAAAGUAUUAAUGAAAUACCGAACUAAAUCACUAUGCAAUAUCUAUGAGCAAAAUCCAAACAUUACUACUAAAUACUUAAGUCAGGGAUUUUGUUACCACAAAUUAAUAAAAAAAAAACCACUUUAUUUAUUUCUUCCAUAGAUACAGAUUGUUUUGCUGUAUAAUUUUUGUAACAUUUUGAAUUUUUUUAUAAGGAGAUUGAAACCAUACAAGAUAUUGUUAUAAUACAAAUAUGUUAUAUAACGGUACUACAUUCUGUCGAUAUGAAUAUUUUUGCAUUGUUCAAAAACAUAUUGUUCACAGACUGUAAAUUACGUCUGUACAUCCAAUCCAUUGGAUGUUGGGUGUAUCUUGAUUGAUAUAUUUGUUCCUCGUAAAUUAUUUUGGUAUAAUUUAGGCUCUUGGUUUCUCAAUUGAGCUGUUUCAUAUUUAUUCAUGCCUUGAAGGUCAAACGGUUAACUAUAAUCACUGACAUCCACCUCAUUUGAACAGUGGAAAGUUGUCUCAUUGGCAAUCAUACCACAUUAUCUUUAUAUUAUAGGUAUAUUCAAAAAGGAAAAGUCCAUAAAACUGACAAAAUAAUCAAGUCUACUUCAUCAACAAACGGAACAAAUAGAAAUCGUAAUUUGUUUACCUAUUUACUACUAACUUUUGAUCUUGAUCUUUAUGUCUUUUAAAGCGGGAGGUUUGGCAUGCCACAAAACCAGGUUCAACCCUCCAUUUUGUUUUCUUAAAAUGUUCUGUACCAUGUCAGAAAAGUGGCCAUUGUUAUAUUAUAGUUCGUUUCUGUGUGUGUUACUUUUCAAUAUUUUGUUUCUAUUGUGUUGUAGUUUUCUUAUGAUUGACGCGUUUCCCUCAGUUUUAUUUUGUAACCCGGAUUUGUUUCGAACAGCGGUAUACUAUUGUUUGCUUUUUAAACAUCAUUUCGUUGUUAAAAUUUAAUAAUUUGCAAGUAAACUACCAAUCAACCCUGCGGUUUCCAGCAGGCUCUGUGUCACUUGAAAAAAACGUAUAUCGUAGUGUAAUUAGAAGGCCCCCGGAUUACAAAAAAAAAUGAGCAACUAAAUUGAUCUGAUUGAAGCGUAUAACAUCAAUCAAAAUUAAUAACGACAGAAAAAAACAACAACUGCACAUUUUUGCUAACGAGUUUUGUUUAUAUUUCUUUUAGUGAUUAAUUGAUACAUAUGAUGUGGCUCUGUACUUCUACAUCCCGUUUUUGUGGUAUAGUAAAAUAUUUUUGUCUCCUUAUCAUUCAGUUUUGCUAAUAUGCUUAGUCUAUAUGCCUUUUUAUGUUUCACUGAUAUAUAUAUGACGUGGCUCUGUACUUAAACAUCCCAUCAUUGUAUUAAUGUAUUAUGGUAAAUUGUGUAUUAUUGUCUUUAUUUUUUGCAAAUAUGCUUGGUCUAUCUGUCAUUUUGUGCUUCUGUGUUACAUAUUUGUUUUUGUUUUUUA